UUGGAGGGCAAGUCUGGUGCCAGCAGCCGCGGUAAUUCCAGCUCCAAUAGCGUAUAUUAAAGUUGUUGCAGUUAAAAAGCUCGUAGUUGAAUUUCGGGAUCAAUGUUUCGGUCAUGCCGUUGGUAUGUACUGAUAUUAUUGAUUUCUCACCUUCUAAAGAACCGUAAUGCCAUUAAUUUGGUGUCACGGGGAAUUAGGACUGUUACCUUGAAAAAAUUAGAGUGUUUAAAGCAAGCAUACGCUUGAAUACAUUAGCAUGGAAUAAUGAAAUAGGACGUUUGAUUCUAUUUUGUUGGUUUCUAGGAUCGACGUAAUGAUUAAUAGGGAUAGUUGGGGGCAUUAGUAUUCAAUUGUCAGAGGUGAAAUUCUUGGAUUUAUUGAAGACUAACUACUGCGAAAGCAUUUGCCAAGGAUGUUUUCAUUAAUCAAGAACGAAAGUUAGGGGAUCGAAGACGAUCAGAUACCGUCGUAGUCUUAACCAUAAACUAUGCCGACUAGGGAUCGGAUGAUGUUAAUUUUUUAAUGACUCAUUCGGCGCCUUACGGGAAAC
rnacentral:rRNA from 1 species